AUAACCGGCGAUUUCCGAAUGGGGAAACCCAGUGUGUUUCGACACACUAUCAUUAACUGAAUCCAUAGGUUAAUGAGGCGAACCGGGGGAACUGAAACAUCUAAGUACCCCGAGGAAAAGAAAUCAACCGAGAUUCCCCCAGUAGCGGCGAGCGAACGGGGAGGAGCCCAGAGCCUGAAUCAGUGUGUGUGUUAGUGGAAGCGUCUGGAAAGGCGCGCGAUACAGGGUGACAGCCCCGUACACAAAAAUGCACAUGCUGUGAGCUCGAUGAGUAGGGCGGGACACGUGGUAUCCUGUCUGAAUAUGGGGGGACCAUCCUCCAAGGCUAAAUACUCCUGACUGACCGAUAGUGAACCAGUACCGUGAGGGAAAGGCGAAAAGAACCCCGGCGAGGGGAGUGAAAAAGAACCUGAAACCGUGUACGUACAAGCAGUGGGAGCCUCUUAAUGGGGUGACUGCGUACCUUUUGUAUAAUGGGUCAGCGACUUAUAUUCUGUAGCAAGGUUAACCGAAUAGGGGAGCCGAAGGGAAACCGAGUCUUAACUGGGCGUUAAGUUGCAGGGUAUAGACCCGAAACCCGGUGAUCUAGCCAUGGGCAGGUUGAAGGUUGGGUAACACUAACUGGAGGACCGAACCGACUAAUGUUGAAAAAUUAGCGGAUGACUUGUGGCUGGGGGUGAAAGGCCAAUCAAACCGGGAGAUAGCUGGUUCUCCCCGAAAGCUAUUUAGGUAGCGCCUCGUGAAUUCAUCUCCGGGGGUAGAGCACUGUUUCGGCAAGGGGGUCAUCCCGACUUACCAACCCGAUGCAAACUGCGAAUACCGGAGAAUGUUAUCACGGGAGACACACGGCGGGUGCUAACGUCCGUCGUGAAGAGGGAAACAACCCAGACCGCCAGCUAAGGUCCCAAAGUCAUGGUUAAGUGGGAAACGAUGUGGGAAGGCCCAGACAGCCAGGAUGUUGGCUUAGAAGCAGCCAUCAUUUAAAGAAAGCGUAAUAGCUCACUGGUCGAGUCGGCCUGCGCGGAAGAUGUAACGGGGCUAAACCAUGCACCGAAGCUGCGGCAGCGACACUAUGUGUUGUUGGGUAGGGGAGCGUUCUGUAAGCCUGUGAAGGUGGCCUGUGAGGGUUGCUGGAGGUAUCAGAAGUGCGAAUGCUGACAUAAGUAACGAUAAAGCGGGUGAAAAGCCCGCUCGCCGGAAGACCAAGGGUUCCUGUCCAACGUUAAUCGGGGCAGGGUGAGUCGACCCCUAAGGCGAGGCCGAAAGGCGUAGUCGAUGGGAAACAGGUUAAUAUUCCUGUACUUGGUGUUACUGCGAAGGGGGGACGGAGAAGGCUAUGUUGGCCGGGCGACGGUUGUCCCGGUUUAAGCGUGUAGGCUGGUUUUCCAGGCAAAUCCGGAAAACCAAGGCUGAGGCGUGAUGACGAGGCACUACGGUGCUGAAGUGACAAAUGCCCUGCUUCCAGGAAAAGCCUCUAAGCAUCAGGUAACAUCAAAUCGUACCCCAAACCGACACAGGUGGUCAGGUAGAGAAUACCAAGGCGCUUGAGAGAACUCGGGUGAAGGAACUAGGCAAAAUGGUGCCGUAACUUCGGGAGAAGGCACGCUGAUAUGUAGGUGAAGCGACUUGCUCGUGGAGCUGAAAUCAGUCGAAGAUACCAGCUGGCUGCAACUGUUUAUUAAAAACACAGCACUGUGCAAACACGAAAGUGGACGUAUACGGUGUGACGCCUGCCCGGUGCCGGAAGGUUAAUUGAUGGGGUUAGCGGUAACGCGAAGCUCUUGAUCGAAGCCCCGGUAAACGGCGGCCGUAACUAUAACGGUCCUAAGGUAGCGAAAUUCCUUGUCGGGUAAGUUCCGACCUGCACGAAUGGCGUAAUGAUGGCCAGGCUGUCUCCACCCGAGACUCAGUGAAAUUGAACUCGCUGUGAAGAUGCAGUGUACCCGCGGCAAGACGGAAAGACCCCGUGAACCUUUACUAUAGCUUGACACUGAACAUUGAGCCUUGAUGUGUAGGAUAGGUGGGAGGCUUUGAAGUGUGGACGCCAGUCUGCAUGGAGCCGACCUUGAAAUACCACCCUUUAAUGUUUGAUGUUCUAACGUUGGCCCCUAAUCGGGGUUGCGGACAGUGUCUGGUGGGUAGUUUGACUGGGGCGGUCUCCUCCUAAAGAGUAACGGAGGAGCACGAAGGUUGGCUAAUCCUGGUCGGACAUCAGGAGGUUAGUGCAAUGGCAUAAGCCAGCUUGACUGCGAGCGUGACGGCGCGAGCAGGUGCGAAAGCAGGUCAUAGUGAUCCGGUGGUUCUGAAUGGAAGGGCCAUCGCUCAACGGAUAAAAGGUACUCCGGGGAUAACAGGCUGAUACCGCCCAAGAGUUCAUAUCGACGGCGGUGUUUGGCACCUCGAUGUCGGCUCAUCACAUCCUGGGGCUGAAGUAGGUCCCAAGGGUAUGGCUGUUCGCCAUUUAAAGUGGUACGCGAGCUGGGUUUAGAACGUCGUGAGACAGUUCGGUCCCUAUCUGCCGUGGGCGCUGGAGAACUGAGGGGGGCUGCUCCUAGUACGAGAGGACCGGAGUGGACGCAUCACUGGUGUUCGGGUUGUCAUGCCAAUGGCACUGCCCGGUAGCUAAAUGCGGAAGAGAUAAGUGCUGAAAGCAUCUAAGCACGAAACUUGCCCCGAGAUGAGUUCU
rnacentral:rRNA from 1 species